rnacentral:rRNA from 1 species
CAAUAGCGUAUAUUUAAGUUGUUGCAGUUAAAAAGCUCGUAGUUGGAUUUCGGGUGGGACGCAGCGGUCUCGCAUUGCGUUUGUACUGCUGCAGCCCUCCUUCUUGCCGGGGGCGGCCUCUCGGACUUCACUGUCUGGGGGUCAGAAUCGGCGAUGUUACUUUGAGUAAAUUAGAGUGUUCAAAGCAAGCUUACGCUCUGAAUAUAAUAGCAUGGGAUAACACGAUAGGACUCUGGCCUAUCGUGUUGGUCUAUAGGACCAGAGUAAUGAUUAAGAGGGACAGUCGGGGGCAUUCGUAUUCCGUUGUCAGAGGUGAAAUUCUUGGAUUUACGGAAGACGAACAUCUGCGAAAGCAUUUGCCAAGGAUGUUUNCAUUGA